UCCGUGCUGUGGAGCAGCCAUCUCUACCCCGUAUGCAUGUCCUUGGUGGUGUUCUGUAGGGGUUCGGCGGCGGUGCCUUUGUGUCGUCCCUCUUGCUGUGCAAGCUCAAGACCCUCUCAUGGUUGCCGUUGUGUUGCUGCGAGCUUCGUGCUCUUGGUGUUGCCUCGGUCAUCUUUGCUCAAUGACGCGCAAGUAGCCUCCCCAACUUGCUAAUCGUCCCGAAGUUCACUGGCGAAGCUCGUAGUCAAGGUUCGUGCGUGGCACUCGUUGACUGUGGUGCUCCUGUGUUGCGCCGUGGGUUCGGUAUGCACGCCGGUGCGGUGCGUUAGGUUCCUUGCAAAGUCUUGGUAUUGUGUCCCUCGACAUCACCCUACAACUACUUGUGUCUUUUAUGGUGUUGGUCUUGUUAGUCUGCUAGCUAUGUCCUGCCUUUGGUGGGCGCCCUACUCUUCUCAUCUUCUUGUAACCUUGUUACUUGUACGGUUUUCGGCCCGGUUUUCCUUAUAAACGGGUUCAAAUUGUUUAGGUUUUCGAUCUGGUUUCCCUUAUAAACCGGAUCACUCUCUGGCAUAAUGGCCACUUCGAGUAAUAUAUUCAGGUGGAGAGACUCCUCCCCUGGUGAUUCUCAAAAAAAAAAAAAAAGA
rnacentral:lncRNA from 1 species